UACGUAGGGGGCUAGCGUUGUCCGGAAUCAUUGGGCGUAAAGCGCGUGUAGGCGGUUCGGUAAGUCCGCUGUGAAAGUCGGGGGCUCAACCCUCGGAUGCCGGUGGAUACUGUCGAGCUUGAGUACGGAAGAGGCGAGUGGAAUUCCUGGUGUAGCGGUGGAAUGCGCAGAUAUCAGGAGGAACACCAAUAGCGAAGGCAGCUCGCUGGGACGGUACUGACGCUAAGGCGCGAAAGCGUGGGGAGCGAACAGG
rnacentral:rRNA from 1 species